CCAUCCCCCAAGGUGAGCUGAAUCGGCUUGACUUUGACAAAAAUGGAGGAAACCCACCACCCAUAGACAGAGAGCAGGAAAGCCAUCCCCCAGCGUGAGAGUUGGAGGAGUGGGCCUUGACGAGACUUGUGCAGUGUUCCAAAGAGCAAGAUAAGACCCACCAUCCCCCAAGUGAGUGUUGGAUGACCAGUGGCUCGCUUUCUCUUGAGAGUGAGGGGAAUCGGCUUGACUCUACAAAAAGAGGACAGACCCACCAUCCCCCAAGUGAGUGUUGGAACCACCAGUGACUCUUUGCCUUUUCUCUCUUUCUCUUUCUUCUCUCUCCUUCUUACAGGGUGAGCUGAAUCGGCUUGACUUUGACAAAAAUGGAGGAAACCCACCACCCCUAGACAGAGAGCAGGAAAGCCAUCCCCCAGCGUGAGAGUUGGAGGAGUGGGCCUCGACGAGUCUUGUGCACUGUUCCAAAGAGCAAGAUAAGACCCACCAUCCCCCAAGUGAGUGUUGAUGACCAGUGGCUCGCUUUCUCUAGAGAGUGAGGGGAAUCGGCUUGACUUUGACAAAAAUGGAGGAAACCCACCACCCAUAGACAGAGAGCAGGAAAGCCAUCCCCCAGCGUGAGAGUUGGAGGAGUGGGCCUCGACGAGUCUUGUGCACUGUUCCAAAGAGCAAGAUAAGACCCACCAUCCCCCAAGGUGAGCUGAAUCGGCUUGACUUUGACAAAAAUGAAGGAAACCCACCACCCCUAGACAGAGAGCAGGAAAGCCAUCCCCCAGCGUGAGAGUUGGAGGAGUGGGCCUCGACGAGGCUUGUGCAGUGUUCCAAAGAGCAAGAUAAGACCCACCAUCCCCCAAGGUGAGCUGAAUCGGCUUGACUUUGACAAAAAUGGAGGAAACCCACCACCCCUAGACAGAGAGCAGGAAAGCCAUCCCCCAGCGUGAGAGUUGGAGGACUGGGCCUUGACGAGGCUUGUGCAGUGUUCCAAAGAGCAAGAUAAAACCCAGACCAGCGAAGUGUUGGAUGACCAGUGGCUCGCUUUCUCUUGAGAGUGAGGUGAAUCGGCUUGACUCUACAAAAAGAGGACAGACCCACCACCACCCCCAGUCAG